rfam:Candidatus Riesia pediculicola TSDA, complete genome.
GGGGCUGAAUUGGAUUCGACGAAAUUUAGUAGGUUUGAAGUAGCAUGUCGAGCAGAUUCUCGUUAAAAUCUAAAAAUAGUUGCAAAAACUAAAAACUAUGCAUAUGCUCAAGCAGCUUAACUAAAUUUAAGAAUAGCUUGAAAAAAUGCAUUCUAUUUAUUUUUUCUCUUUUUGGUAAGUAGAAACAUGAUAAAAAAAGAGAACACGUUCAGUUUUUCCUAUCAUUCUGAACGUUGAAAAAAUAGGAUAGUUGAAUUAAUUCGAAUUUUACCAAGAAAUAUUCAACGAAUAAAAAUCGGUAAAAUAAACAUGUAGAGACGACAAACUGAAGAAUUUUCGGACGCGGGUUCAAAUCCCGCCAGCUCCAUAA